rnacentral:rRNA from 1 species
CAGCAGCCGCGGGAAUACGAAGGGGGCUAGCGUUGCUCGGAAUGACUGGGCGUAAAGCGUGCGCAGGCGGUUUGGCAAGUCUAGUGUGAAAUCCCCGAGCUUAACCUGGGAACUGCAUUUGAAACUGGCAAGCUAGAGUCUUGUAGAGGGGGGGUGGAAUUCCAGGUGUAGCGGUGAAAUGCGUAGAGAUCUGGAGGAAUACCGGUGGCGAAGGCGGCCCCCUGGACAAAGACUGACGCUCAGCUGCGAAAGCGUGGGGAGCAAACAGGAUUAGAUACCCGUGUAGUCCCUGUCUCUUAUU